AGUCUAGCGGAGAUGAGGUGCUUGCACCUUAUCUUAACGGCGGACGGGUGAGUAAUGCUUAGGAAUCUGCCUAUUAGUGGGGGACAACAUUCCGAAAGGAAUGCUAAUACCGCAUACGUCCUACGGGAGAAAGCAGGGGAUCUUCGGACCUUGCGCUAAUAGAUGAGCCUAAGUCGGAUUAGCUAGUUGGUGGGGUAAAGGCCUACCAAGGCGACGAUCUGUAGCGGGUCUGAGAGGAUGAUCCGCCACACUGGGACUGAGACACGGCCCAGACUCCUACGGGAGGCAGCAGUGGGGAAUAUUGGACAAUGGGGGGAACCCUGAUCCAGCCAUGCCGCGUGUGUGAAGAAGGCCUUAUGGUUGUAAAGCACUUUAAGCGAGGAGGAGGCUACUGAGACUAAUACUCUUGGAUAGUGGACGUUACUCGCAGAAUAAGCACCGGCUAACUCUGUGCCAGCAGCCGCGGUAAUACAGAGGGUGCGAGCGUUAAUCGGAUUUACUGGGCGUAAAGCGUGCGUAGGCGGCUUUUUAAGUCGGAUGUGAAAUCCCCGAGCUUAACUUGGGAAUUGCAUUCGAUACUGGGAAGCUAGAGUAUGGGAGAGGAUGGUAGAAUUCCAGGUGUAGCGGUGAAAUGCGUAGAGAUCUGGAGGAAUACCGAUGGCGAAGGCAGCCAUCUGGCCUAAUACUGACGCUGAGGUACGAAAGCAUGGGGAGCAAACAGGAUUAGAUACCCUGGUAGUCCAUGCCGUAAACGAUGUCUACUAGCCGUUGGGGCCUUUGAGGCUUUAGUGGCGCAGCUAACGCGAUAAGUAGACCGCCUGGGGAGUACGGUCGCAAGACUAAAACUCAAAUGAAAUGACGGGGGCCCGCA
rnacentral:rRNA from 1 species